AGAGCUUAAGCCAUGUCUGCAAAGCAGCGGGCGUCUUCUGCUUGUCACAGGGUUGGUCAGUUUGUUUAUGCAUUUAGCCCAGGCUUGUGAAUAAUUCAUUCAAUCUUCAUUGAAAAUAGAGGCUUUUAUUAACUUUGCUCGUAGGCAGUAAUGGCAUAACAACUAAUAAUUCUCGGCAUGCCAGGUCUUGUUCGUCAAGCUGCUUGAGUCUUCUAAAUUUUUUCAUCUUGAACGGGGUCCAAGGAAUAGUAGGAGGUCACACGUAGUACUUUCUUAGGUUGUAGACAUUCCACUGCUUGUCGAUUUCUUUGUCGCUCAUAGUGGUAAGGGUGUAGCUGCCCCUUCUGCCUACUCGGGUGAUUUUGUACAGACCUUCCCAGAUGGGAGCCAUCUUUUUGGAGCCUUCCCGUUAGGCGGUG
rnacentral:lncRNA from 1 species